AACGAACGCUGGCGGCAUGCCUAACACAUGCAAGUCGAACGAGAUCUUCGGAUCUAGUGGCGCACGGGUGCGUAACGCGUGGGAAUCUGCCCUUUGGUUCGGAAUAACAGUUGGAAACGACUGCUAAUACCGGAUGAUGACGUAAGUCCAAAGAUUUAUCGCCAGAGGAUGAGCCCGCGUAGGAUUAGCUAGUUGGUGUGGUAAGAGCGCACCAAGGCGACGAUCCUUAGCUGGUCUGAGAGGAUGAUCAGCCACACUGGGACUGAGACACGGCCCAG
rnacentral:rRNA from 1 species